CCUGCUAGGCGGAGCACACGCGGGAGCGGUAGUGGCAGCAUUGUCGCGGCGGGCGGUUCCCUUCGCUGCUGCAGCAGAGGGCGGCGCUGGUGCUGCUAGUCGGAUGCGCCUGGGAGCCGGCCCCGGUCUGAGCCCUAGCUGUCGCAGCCAGACCUCGACUAGGAGGUUUGCUGUGGGAAGUUCAGGAUGGGGCUGAGCACGGCAACCAUCGUAAUGGUGUUGCCUUCAACUAGCCUCACUUUCUCCGAAGAGACAGGGCUCCCUCGGGGCUGAGACGGCCUCUUUCCCCUUGCCUGUUUCGCCCUCGAGUGCGUCUUUCCGGCGUUCCUUUUCAGUUCUCUUCUCCCGACUCGGGCCGGACACGUUCCUGGCCCGCCGCCGCAGAAAAGAGGCGACUUCGCCACCGCUGGAAGAUGGCGUGGGUGCUGAAGAUGGACGAAGUAAUCGAGUCCGGUCUGGCUCACGACUUCGAUGCCAGCCUCUCCGGCAUUGGACAAGAGCUGGGCGCCGGCGCCUACAGCAUGAGUGAUGUUCUGGCACUUCCCAUUUUCAAGCAAGAAGACUCUAGCCUUCCACCUGAUAACGACACAAAACAUCCACCAUUUCAAUAUGUUAUGUCUGCUGCAACUUCCCCAGCAAUCAAACUGCAUGAUGAAACACUUACUUAUUUAAAUCAAGGUCAGUCCUAUGAAAUUCGGUUGUUAGAUAAUCGAAAAAUGGGAGAUAUGCCUGAAAUCAAUGGGAAACUCAUAAAGAGUAUCAUAAGAGUAGUAUUCCAUGACAGAAGAUUACAAUACACUGAGCAUCAGCAGCUAGAAGGCUGGAAGUGGAAUCGCCCUGGAGACCGAUUACUUGAUUUAGAUAUUCCUAUGUCUGUUGGAGUAAUUGAUGUAAAAACAAAUCCAAGCCAACUCAAUGCAGUUGAGUUUUUGUGGGAUCCUGGAAAACGCACAUCUGCCUUUAUUCAGGUACAUUGUAUCAGCACAGAAUUUACACCUCGUAAACAUGGAGGUGAAAAAGGAGUUCCAUUUAGAAUACAGGUUGACACUUUUAAACAAGCAGAAAAUGGAGAGUACACUGAUCAUCUGCAUUCAGCCAGCUGUCAAAUCAAAGUGUUUAAACCAAAAGGGGCAGACAGAAAACAAAAAACAGAUAGAGAAAAGAUGGAGAAGCGAACUGCCCGUGAAAAGGAAAAAUAUCAGUCUUCAUACGAUACUACAAUUCUCUCUGAGUGUUCACCAUGGCCUGAUACGCCUGCAUUUGUGAAUAGUAGCCCUACUCCAACGCCAGCUUUUACUUCUUCUCCACAUACUACUUACAGUGUCCCAGACAGUAAUUCAUCAUCUCCAAAUCAUCAAGGAGAAGGAAUUUCCCUAGCAGGUGGUGAGCAACUUCAUCCAUCAGCCACAAUCCAGGAAACCCAGCAGUGGUUGCUUAAACAUAGAUUUUCCACUUACACAAGGGUGUUUUCUAAUUUCUCAGGUGCUGAUUUAUUGAAGCUGACAAGAGAAGAUCUGGUACAAAUCUGUGGUCCUGCUGAUGGAAUUCGGCUUUACAAUGCACUUAAAUCAAGGUCUGUUAGGCCACGUUUAACAAUCUAUGUAUGCCAAGAGCAGUCAAGAAUUAUACGACUGGAAAGGCAACAAGACUCAGGCAAUGGAGAAAAGAAUGGUGCAAUAUUUGUUUACCAUGCAAUCUACUUGGAAGAAAUGGCUGCCUCGGAAGUCACUCGCAAGCUUGCUUUGGUGUUCAAUAUUCCUUUGCAUCAAAUUAAUCAGGUUUACAGACAAGGCCCUACUGGUAUCCAUAUUCUUGUCAGCGAUCAGGUAAAUUCUAUUUUUCCUCCACCAACAUACAUUUUACAUUUCAAAAAUUCCAAAACAACAAUCAGUUUGUGUUUUUUUUCCUGGUAUAGUUGCCACUGCUGUAGACUUAAGAAAGAUAUUUGAAUUAACAAAUACAAAUUCUAAAUGAAUGAGAAGACAAUCAGCAAACAAGCAUACUAACCUCGUUUUAUAUAUGAAAUUUAUUUUUCAUAUAAUCUUACUUAAUGAAUAUCUUGCUUUCCUUGAAAUUCGAAUGAGUUGGUCAAAUUUUACAAUACAAACAGUUCCUAUUAGAUUCAUUUUCAUUCUAUCAAUCAGGUAACAAGAAUAAAGCAAAAAUCUUUGGAAAAUCUACUUCUUAAAAUGGUCAGAACAAAGGGAUGAAUAGUAACUCAUUCUUUGAGUUAAAAUUCUCAAACUAUCACUUGCCUCAUGAACAUUCUUCUCUUUGUGAACAUCAGUGUCCCACUUUUGAUGCCAUAUUUCUGAACAUUCCAGAUACAUAGUAUGUAAUAUCCAUAUAAUAACUAUAAUAUUGCCACAUGUUGAAAAAUAUAAUAAAAUAUUAAAACUAUGCAUUAUUAGAGAUCACUGCACUUUUGACUAAAUCAGAAAAUAAUGUUAGUUCAAAUGAGAGAAGAGUAUUAGAGAAGAGCAUUAGAGAACAGAAGUUGUUUGUGGGACUAUUUGUUAACUUUUUCUGUAAUGUAUUAAACUGAUCUGACUUGUUAACAAGGAAUAGUAUUUAUAAUCUUCCUCCCUAGAUGGUCCAAAACUUUGAAGAUGAGACCUGCUUCCUCGUUACCACAAUAAAAGCUGAAAAUGGUGAAGGUUUCCACAUAAUUUUGAAGUGAAGUUGCCAUAUGUACGUCGGACUGAUAUUCGAAUUGAAAAAUGGAGUCAUCAAGAAUGGCAAAUAACACCAAAUCUCUUCAGGGAUCUGACUUCACCAUAUAGAAUGUUUCAUAUUGAAAACACAAGUUGAUCUUCUAAUGAACUGUUUAGUAAAUGAACUUAUCACUGCCAUAGCCAAUUGUCCUCAUUAGAGGCUUGAAAUGACAGGCAUGGAAAAAGCAAAGUACAUAAAAGUGUUUGCCCUUUCUUGACAAAAAUAAAAUAAAAUAGGCACGCUAUGGCCAGUAGAUGCAGUAUCUUGAAGCAUUACUGUUUCCUCUUACACUGUAUCCAGUUGAAUGUAAACUAAUACUGGGCAUUUAUCUUCCUAUGCCAGUUUGUCUAUUACUUGCUUGUGCUUUUAUGCUGCUUUUAUUUUUUGAUGUUAGCAGAGCACAUAGUAAUUUGUGUGGAGAUAAGUAGUAUGAUAAUAGCAAUCAGGUUUGGGAUCUUGAGCAUAAAGCUAUCAAAACAACAUUCUCUGUAUAGAUUGUGUAUAAAGUGUGAAUGUAAGAAGUGCAAAUGUCGGGGCUUCUUGUUAAAGUCCUAACUACAUGAAAAUUAAGCAUGCAUCAAAAUAUAUUAUCAUUAGUACCUGAGCAAUUUGUAAAAUACGACCUCUGUGGUACAGCAUUUUGCUUUUCAACAAAUUCCUUGAGAAAAUUUGUUUAUGCAUCAUGUUUUUAGUUUCUUGAAUGAUACACUCUGCAGUUACCUUUUUUUUUUAAACCACUCUGUAAAAAUAAUAGUGAGUUGACCUUUAACAAAAUAUAGGUGCACUCCUGCAUUUUUCCAUGUUCACUCCCAGGUCACAAUUGCCCCCCCCCUCUCUGGCUGCACUGGAAAGACCAGUCUUAGUGCCUAUUCCAUACAACCAAAUACUUGACUAGCAGUUGCACAUCUUAAUGAACUGUACAAAUGCUUUCAAAUGUUACUGAAGAUCAUAGCAUUCUAGAAAAAUAUUUGACUCUUGGAUUGUGUAUUAAUAUAUGUACUUGUUGGAAAUUAAGACACAGAAGGUAGAUUACUUCAUGACUUGCUUUUUUAAUCAACUUUAAUCUUGAAUGCUGUAGUGAAAGGGUGAAAAGUGCACGUCAAGUAAAGUUUUUGAUUUCAAUUCCAUUUUUAAUUAUGCCUAAGUGAAGUGCUUGAACUAUAUAAUUCUAAGAAAGUCAGUUAAUUACUUGUAUUUGGAUGAAUAUUCGUUCCCUUAUUUCUCCAUGACCUAUACUAUUCUGCACUGAUAGAGGGAGCAUAGUUUGUGAGCAUAAACUGUUUUUGAGUUGUUCUUGACUAUAAAUUAUUUUUGAUUGUACUUGAGUGUCUUCAGUUCACUUGAUGUGUCAUGUCGACACUUUUUCAAAUUUGUGGAGAAUCUUCAAAAAAUUUAAAAGCUGUACAAUAGUUUUGUUCAUUUGGAUUUAAUUAAUGGCACCAGCAAAUUGCUUUUUGUUUUUGGAUAUGAUAUAUACAUUUCAAUUUCAGUAAAAACAUUUUCCAAUAAUGUUGUAAACAUUUUACCUUCAUUUUUUGCAAUGUGUACUGAAAACAUAAGUGCUGCUGAGAUAUAUAAUUUGGAGAAGUAUGUCAUCUCUUUCAGCUGGAACUAGAAUGAGCACUGGCUUAAAAAAGAACUGUGCUUAUACUCUGCUCAAUUGAACUGGAUGUGCUGAUGAUUUUUUUUUUAAAAAAAAUACUGUUUAUAUUGAUUUACCACAAUAAGUUUUAAAAUGAUUGAAGUUAAAUCUAAAUUUGAUUGCCUUUAUUCACUAGUAACCAGUACCAAGUUAUUUAAAUUAAAUACCUGUUUAAUAA